ACAGUUCCUUUUGCUUUGAUUUGGCAACAAGAGUGCUCGGAAUCGAAUUUUGAAUAGGUAGGGAGAACUUUUACCUUUUUUGGCGAUCGACAAUCGGCCUCCUUCUCCGGUGCCUCGUUCUUCUUCUCUAGUGGAGGCUAGCAGUUAGGGGUUGAGUUCCCGCGUGACGCGAAGUAUUUAUACCCAUCCUACAUUGAUCUAGACCGUUCAUCGCGAU
rnacentral:lncRNA from 1 species